CUCAAGUGAUCCGCCCACCUCAGCCUCCCAAAGUGCUGUGAUUAUAAGUGUGAGCCACCAUGAGUGGCCUCAAGAUUUAAAUUGAACAAAGAUAUUUUAUUGUUUCAAAGAAAAAAAAAAAGCAAACCUCUUACCUACAGAAUGAACCCUCCUGAUUCCAUUAACUUUUUUUUUUUUUUGAGACAGAGUCUCGCUCUGUCGCCCAGGCUGGAGUGCAAUGGCACAAUCUCAGCUCACUGCAAGCUCCGUCUCCCAGGUUCACGUCAUUGUCCUGCCUCAGCCUCCCCAGUAGCUGGGACCACAGGCACCCGCCACCACGCCUGGCUAAUUUUUUGUAUUUUUAGUAGAGACGGGGUUUCACUGUGUUAUCCAGGAUGGUCUCAAUCUCCUGACCUCGUGAUCUCAAUCUCCUGAUUCUCAUUGAUAGAUGAGUGUUUUUCUUUCAUCCCAGAAAAUAUUGAUGUAUUGAUUCAUAUUUAAAAUAACAGCACUUUAAGCCCAGUUCACAGUCACAACAGAACAUUUGAAAUGUCUAAGGAAAAUACAAUGCAAUCUACAUGAAAACAUUCAUUAAGUUUGCUGAACAGUAUAAAAGUGGGAGAGAAUGGGAAACCUGAAUGUUCUAAGAAGGUGAUCUGUUGGCAAAAUAACAUCCCAAGUUCUAUCAGAAUUUCUUUUUGGAGCUUAAGAAAAUGAUUCUAACAUUCAACUGAAAAAUUAGCCAAACAGACAAUAGUUAAGAAAUUUUAGAAAAAAUAACUAUUAAGUGAAAGUUGGUUUAUAUUAAAAUAUGCUACCUAAAUAAUUAAAAUGAAAUGAGAUCAGUUCCAAAACGGCAGAGUGGGGGCCUCAGUGAACUCUGUCUCCCUCUAAAACAAUGAAAAUAUGCGCAAUACAUCUAAAAUAAACCAAUUUUAGAAUUCUGAUAAUAAACUGGAAUUUCACCACAAACUGAAAAUCAUCUAUCGAAUGAACUUCAGUAAAAUUAGCUGUUGACUUCUCAGCAGAAAACAUGGAUGCCAGAAGAGAGGAUGAAAUAGAUGGUUAGCCAAAAAUGUUCUAUCUAGUUAAACCCUUUUUCAGAAUUAAUGGAGAAAUGAAGACAUUGCCAGAUAAACAAAGAAUUUGUCAUUAGCAAACCUUCCCAAAAGAAGUACUAAAGGGAGUUUUUUCAGGCUUUAAUGAAAGGACACCAGAUUUUUUUUUUUUUUUUUUGAGACAGAGUCUCACUCUGUCACCCAGGCUGCAGUGCAGUGGUGCGACCUCGGCUCACUACAACCUCUGCCUACCAGGUUCAAGCGAUUCUCCUGCCUCAACCUCCUGAGUAGCUGAGAUUACAGGCACACGCCACCACGCCCGGCUAAUUUUUGUAUUUUUAGUACAGACAGGGUUUCGGCAUGUUGGCCAGGCUGGUCUCAAACUGCUGACCUCAGGUGAUCCACCCGACUCGGCUUCCCAAAGUGCUGGGAUUACAGGCAUGAGCCACUGCGCCCGACCAGAACACCAGACAUUAACUUGCAUCCAGAUGAAGAAAUAAAGAGCAGAGGUAACAUCAUUAUCGUAGAACCUAAGAUUGACCUUUUGAGAUGUCUUUUCCACACCUGGCUCUGCCUGGACCUGCCAGCUGCUCCUGUGGCCACACCCAGAAUUGACUCAGCACAAGAAGAUAGCUUCAGCUCCCUAGGAUUUUUUUUUUUUCUUCGAGACAGAGUUUUGCUCUGUCGCCCAGGCUACAGUGCAGUGGCACGAUCUCCACUCACUGCAAGCUCUGCCUCCCGGGUUCAUGCCAUUCUCCUGACUCAGCCUCCUGAGUAGCUGGGACUACAGGCGCCCGCCACCAUGCCCAGCUAAUUUUUGUAGUUUUAGUAGAGGCAGGGUUUCACCGUGUUAGCCAGGAUGGUCUCAAUCUCCUGACCUCGUGAUCCACCUGCCUCGGCCUCCCACAGUGCUGGGAUUACAGAUGUGAGCCACCACAUCAGGCCAAGCUCCCUAGGAUUUUCUCUCUCACCCACCAAUUGGCAGCAAGCACCCACUGCCUAGCCACCCUUAUCCCUAGCUCACCAAACCAUUUUUUUUUUUUUUGAAUUGCAGUCUCACUCUGUUGCCCAGGCUGGAGUGCAGUGGCAUGAUCUUGGCUCACUGCAACCUCCACCUCCUGGGUUUAAGCAAUUCUCCUGCCUCAGCCUCCUAAGUAGCUGGGAUUACAGGCUUGCACCACCACGCCCAGCUAAUCUUUGUGUUUUUAGUAGAGACAGGGUUUCACCAUGUUGGCCAGGCUAGUUUCAAACUCCUGGCCUCAAGUGAUCUGCUUGCCUUGACUCCCAAAGUGCUGGGAUUACAGGCGUGAGCCACUGCGCCCAGCCUCCACCAAACCAUCCUUGAAAAAUCCCUAACCUCUGAGCCUUCAUGCAGACAGGUUUGAGUAGUAAAUUUGUCUCCUACGUGAUGUGGCUGGCGUGUCAGUUAAAGUUUUUCUUUAUUGCAAUGCCAUGGUCUAUUUUGUUUGUGCAGUGGGCAGAAAGAACCUAUCAGGCAGUUAUAAAAUUAGCAAAAGUUUUAAAAAGUAUUAUAUUACAAUAAAAUAUAGACUUCUUUUUUGAGACAUGGUCUCACUCUGUUGCCCAGGCUCCAGUACAGUGGCAUGAGCAUGGCUCACUGCAACCCUGACCUCCCAGGCUCAAGCUAUGCUCCCACCUCAGCCUCUCAAGUAGCUGGGAUUACAGGUGCACACCACCACACCUGGCUAAUUUUUGUAUUUUUUUUUGUAAAAACAGGGUUUCACUUUGUUGCUCAGGCUGGUCUCAAACUACUGGGCUCAAGCAAUUCACCCACCUUGGCCUUCCAAAUUGCUGGGAUUACAGGUAUGAGCCACUGCACUUGGCCAAAUACAGAUAUUUCAAAAGCAGUUUGGCAAUACAUACCGAGAACUUUUAUCUUUACCUUUGGGUUAAAUGAUUUAAAGAAAAAAAAUU
rnacentral:lncRNA from 10 species